AGCGAACGCUGGCGGCAGGCUUAACACAUGCAAGUCGAACGGAGUAUCAGCAAUGGUGCUUAGUGGCGAACGGGUGAGUAACGCGUUGGUGACCUGCCCCGAAGCGGGGGAUAACAGACCGAAAGGUCUGCUAAUACCGCGUAAUCUGUGCCUAGUUAGAGAGGGUACAGGAAAGCCGAAAGGCGCUUUGGGAGGGGCCUGCGUCCCAUCAGCUAGUUGGUAAGGUAACGGCUUACCAAGGCGAUGACGGGUAGGGGACCUGAGAGGGUGGCCCCCCACAAUGGACGUAGAACAACGGUCCAUACACCUACCGGGUGGGCAG
rnacentral:rRNA from 1 species